rnacentral:lncRNA from 1 species
GCAGAGUAACAUGUACACAAUUUAUUUUGUAUUUUUGCUAUUUACUAAUCUUUCAGGCAACAUCAUGACUCUAAAAUACCAUACUAUAUAUUUUCCUCACUGAAUUUUACUAACAGUUUUGCUACUCCCAUUUUAUAGAUUGACACUUUAAAACAGAGACUGAGCAACUCAAUUAAUCUUUAUCAUCUUGGCACUAGUACCAAAAUAACUUACAAUGCAGAGGAAAUAAUUUUUUGUUCCUUGGGUAGCCUGUCUUGUCAUGUAGUAAUUUUCUUAUUUCUGUUAGUCAUCAAGCAGUCAUGCAGCUAAACAAAUAUUAGUUUUAAUACAAGUGAUUAUAAUGUAUACGUUAGAGAAAUGAAAAUAUCAGGUAUUUGAGAAUUCAAUCCAUCAGAUAGUUGAAACUUGUUUUGUGACCCUGGAAGGGUCAGGAAAUGGAAUUUAAAUGGAAGCUAAAACUAUCUGGAAGUUGAAUGACCGGCCUUGGGAAGCAGUGCAUUUCCUUUCACAGUCCCUAUGAUACAACAAGUAAAACAUGUCUCACGGGAAAUGUAAUAAAAUGUUUAAUUCAGAAGGGCAUCAAAAAUAUAAAAUGUCUCCAGAAUAAACUUUUAAAAUAAGGUUUAUUUUUAAGUAAAAACCAUAAAAAAUUCUUAAUGAUCAUUAGUGGGAAAGUGCCAUGUUCCUGGAUGAGCAGAGACUCUUACAAAGAGGUCAUUUCCAUCCAAUUACGUAUCACUAUGAUUU